rnacentral:rRNA from 1 species
AACGAACGCUGGCGGCAUGCCUAACACAUGCAAGUCGAACGAGACCUUCGGGUCUAGUGGCGCACGGGUGCGUAACGCGUGGGAACCUGCCUUUAGGUUCGGAAUAACUCAGAGAAAUUUGAGCUAAUACCGGAUGAUGUCUUCGGACCAAAGAUUUAUCGCCUUUAGAUGGGCCCGGGUUGGAUUAGCUAGUUGGUGGGGUACAGGCCUACCAAGGCGACGUUCCAUAGCUGGUCGGAUAGGAUGAUCAGCCACACUGGGACUGCGGCACGGCCCAGACUCCUACGGGAGGGAGCAGUGGGGAAUAUUGGACAAUGGGCGAAAGCCUGAUCCAGCAAUGCCGCGUGAGUGAUGAAGGCCUUAGGGUUGUAAAGCUCUUUUACCCGAGAUGAUAAUGACAGUAUCGGGAGAAUAAGCUCCGGCUAACUCCGUG